rnacentral:tRNA from 1 species
GGGGUUGUGGCUCAGCAGUAGAGCACUCACCUAGCAUGUGCGAGGCCCUGGGUUCAAUCCUCAGCACCA